rnacentral:rRNA from 1 species
UAAUACGGAGGAUGCGAGCGUUAUCCGGAUUUAUUGGGUUUAAAGGGUGCGUAGGCGGAGAGUUAAGUCAGCGGUGAAAGUCCCUCGCUCAACGAGGGGAGUGCCGUUGAUACUGGCCCUCUUGAAUGCUCCUGCCGUGGGAGGAAUGUGUGGUGUAGCGGUGAAAUGCAUAGAUAUCACACAGAACACCGAUUGCGAAGGCAUCUCACGAAGGGGUGAUUGACGCUGAGGCACGAAAGCGUGGGGAUCGAACAGGAUUAGAUACCCUGGUAGUCCACGCAGUAAACGAUGAUGGCUAACUGCCGGGGGGCAACCUUCGGUGGCCAAGCGAAAGCGAUAAGCCAUCCACCUGGGGAGUACGACCGCAAGGUUGAAACUCAAAGGAAUUGACGGGGGCCCGCACAAGCGGAGGAACAUGUGGUUUAAUUCGAUGAUACGCGAGGAACCUUACCCGGGCUCGAACGGUGCAGGAAGAGAUCUGGAGACAGUGACGCCCUUCGGGGCCUGCAU